rnacentral:rRNA from 1 species
UACGUAGGGUGCGAGCGUUGUCCGGAAUCACUGGGCGUAAAGGGCGCGUAGGUGGCUCGUGAAGCGUGCGGUGAAAGUCCGAGGCUCAACCUCGGAUCGGCCGUGCGGACUCGCGGGCUCGAGCGUGUAGAGGCGGGUGGAAUUCCGGGUGUAGCGGUGGAAUGCGUAGAGAUCCGGAAGAACACCGGUGGCGAAGGCGGCCCGCUGGGCAACUGCUGACACUGGAUGCGCGACAGCGGUGGGGAGCAAACAGG